rnacentral:rRNA from 1 species
AUUGAACGCUGGCGGCAGGCCUAACACAUGCAAGUCGAGCGAGCGGCGGACGGGUGAGUAAUGUAUGGGGACUGCCUGAUAGAGGGGGAUAACUACUGGAAACGGUGGCUAAUACCGCAUACUAUGGGAUAGCCCAUAUGGGAUUAGCUAGUAGGUGGGGUAAAGGCUCACCAAGGCGACGAUCCAUAGCUGGUCUGAGAGGAUGAUCAGCCACACUGGGACUGAGACACGGCCCAGACUCCUACGGAGGCAGCAGUGGGGAAUAUUGCGCAAUGGGCGCAAGCCUGAUCCAGCCAUGCCGCGUGUAUGAAGAAGGCCUUCGGGUUGUAAAGUACUUUCGGCGGGGAGGCGUUACCCGCAGAAGAAGCACCGGCUAACUCCGUGCCAGCAGCCGCGGUAAUUC